rnacentral:tRNA from 1 species
GGCUCCGUAGUUCAACUGGAUAGAAUAACGGAUUUCGGCUCCGUUGGUUGCAGGUUCGAACCCUGCCGGGGUCA